rnacentral:misc_RNA from 1 species
UUAAGUUCAGCGGGUAUUCCUACCUGAUCCGAGGUCAACCUUGGGUAAAAAAGGCUUUUUAACGGCCGGAACCCGCAGCACGCCCUGAGCGAGAUAAAAUCUACUACGCCCGGUGUGACAGCGAGCCCGCCACUGGUUUCAGGGCCUGCGGCAGCCGCAGGUCCCCAACACAAGCCUGGGGCUUGAUGGUUGAAAUGACG